AACGAACGCUGGCGGCAGGCCUAACACAUGCAAGUCGAGCGCGCCCUUCGGGGUGAGCGGCGGACGGGUGAGUAACGCGUGGGAACGUACCCUUUGCUACGGAAUAGCCUCGGGAAACUGAGAGUAAUACCGUAUACGCCCUUUGGGGGAAAGAUUUAUCGGCAAAGGAUCGGCCCGCGUUGGAUUAGGUAGUUGGUGGGGUAAUGGCCCACCAAGCCGACGAUCCAUAGCUGGUUUGAGAGGAUGAUCAGCCACACUGGGACUGAGACACGGCCCAGACUCCUACGGGAGGCAGCAGUGGGGAAUAUUAGACAAUGGGGGCAACCCUGAUCUAGCCAUGCCGCGUGAGUGAUGAAGGCCUUAGGGUUGUAAAGCUCUUUCAGCUGGGAAGAUAAUGACGGUACCAGCAGAAGAAGCCCCGGCUAACUCCGUG
rnacentral:rRNA from 1 species